UACGAAGGGUGCAAACGUUGCUCGGAAUUAUUGGGCGUAAAGCGCACGUAGGCGGCUUGGCAAGUCGGAUGUGAAAUCCCUCGGCUCAACCAAGGAAGUGCAUCCGAAACUGCCGAGCUUGAGUACUUAAGAGGAUCGCGGAAUUCCCGGUGUAGAGGUGAAAUUCGUAGAUAUCGUAAGGAAGACCAGUGGCGAAGGCGAGUCUCUGGACAGUUACUGACACUGAGGCACGAAGGCCAGGGGAGCAAACGGG
rnacentral:rRNA from 1 species